UUGAGGAUUGUAUUUAUAAUUCAGAAAAGUUUGAUGAAAGAACAUUGUGAGUGAAUGACUGAAUAUUCAAAGACUCAUUUUCUUUAGAUAAGAAGGUAGAAGUAUAAUUGCUUAUUUGAAAUAUGUCUGGUUGUUUGAGGGAUCACCAGCUUUACUAUUUACUAGGAAUUUGAGGAGAGUGCAUUUAAGACUUCUUCGGUUCAGAUUAAAGGAGGAAGCCUCUGGAUUUUCUGUUUAAGACCAGCAGAGUUUUAGUAUUUCUCUUCGGUAAUGGGAAAUUCUUAUAAGAAAGAUAGAAGUGUUUAAUAAAUGAGCUGCACACAACACAUUUGGGUCCCAAACUAUGGAAGAGAGGAGCAGGAAAGAGAGCAACUGCUUACAUGGAGGCUGAGCUGAUGCUGCUGUUUCACAGCUGAUGUGGGGAAGGAAGUUAUCUCAACUGGCAGACUCAUCCAGACCUUCAGGGCAAAUCUGAGUUUUUUAUUUUUCUUUCCCUUCUUGAAACUUGUACCACGGUAGCAAUGAAAGAAAGCUGCACCAGAACCAAUGUCUGGAAAGCUGGAGUUACAACAGACUGGAUGGUGAAGCCACAGGGUCUCACUAGUAGAAAAGGCUGGUUAAACCGUAACAAGAACAAGACUUUUCUGUUCAGGAAUAAACUACUACCUCCCUGUGAUGAAUGGUUGAAACUGCUUUGAAUUAAACUUGUGUUGCUGGUGUUCUACUGUAAGGCUAUGUAUGUGCUACUGGAAAAUCAGAAUUUUGUAUACAAAUCUAUAAAAACAAGUUAAUUAUGAUAUCUGAUAAGCGCUGGAGAUUAAAC
rnacentral:lncRNA from 1 species